ACUCUUCAACCCGCCCUUUUCUUUAUGAUCAGGAAUCGGUGUUUGGAUUUUGAGCUUUGCUACUAAAUCUAGCUAGCUCGUAAUACAUCAGCAUUUCAAUCUUCGUAAUCGGAUCGACUUGGCGUAAUAGACUAUUCGCUGAGGACACUUGCAAAAGUGGCCGAGAUAAGAAAAUAAAGAAAAGCUUCCAACUCUUCUAGUCAUAAACUUUUAAG
rnacentral:misc_RNA from 3 species